CAGCCGCCACGGUAAAACAGAGGAUGCAAGCGUUAUCCGGAAUGAUUGGGCGUAAAGCGUCUGUAGGUGGCUUUUCAAGUCCGCCGUCAAAUCCCAGGGCUCAACCCUGGACAGGCGGUGGAAACUACCAAGCUGGAGUACGGUAGGGGCAGAGGGAAUUUCCAGUGGAGCGGUGAAAUGCGUUGAGAUCGAAAAGAACACCAACAGCGAAAGCACUCUGCUGGGACGACACUGACACUAAGAGACGAAAGCUAGGGGAGCAAAUGGGAUUAGAGACCCCGGUAGUCCCUGUCUCUUAUAC
rnacentral:rRNA from 1 species